GCUGAAUUUUAACGUAAUUUCUCUUGAUGUAGCUAGCAGGUGGCAUAGGUGUAUUUGAAAGCAGCAUUCUGACAGCGAUUAGAAUGUCCUCCGUCUGCUAGUCUUCUUGAUUCUUAAAUUCUGUGGAGCUCAAAUAGACAACAAAGCUUGUGGAACUGAUUAAGUGUUAGCAUAAAUAUGUAGCCUUUAUCAUCUUGAGACUCCUUAAUAAUUAUUACUCCCUGUUUUUAUAUUUUUAUUUUAUAAAGCAGAAAAAUAUUUAUUUUAUUUUUAUGCCACCACAGUGAAUGUAUGUAUGGGUUUUAUGCCACUCGUCUAUUCACAUGGGGCUUACUAUUUUUCACAUUUUUAUUUUCUUUUUAAGACAGUAUGAGCAUGUUUAACUAAGUAAACUAUUUAAAAUAACUGAAAGGGAAAGGGUAACUACCAAGUUUACCUCUUGGCAAGGCGUUCGGUGUUUUUAAGUCCUCCGAACGGGACUCUCCAAUUUCUUAAUCGUCCUGAGGUUCGUUGGGUGGCGUAGUCGGUACUUCCGACAGCACCUCCUCUUCUUGUAUAGUUAUCUUCAUUUUCCACACCUGACUCGGUGCUUCAAUCUCCUCUGGAUAAUUCUGUUUAAACUCUACGUCUUCUGACCUUACAACUUCUCCUUCAUAGUCUGCCCAUCCGUCCUUAAUGAUCUGCCUCCUCUGGUUGCGGUUGCGUCGUUUUCUUACCUGCUU
rnacentral:lncRNA from 1 species